rnacentral:rRNA from 1 species
UACGAAGGGGGCUAGCGUUGCUCGGAAUCACUGGGCGUAAAGCGCACGUAGGCGGAUCUUUAAGUCAGGGGUGAAAUCCCAAGGCUCAACCUUGGAACUGCCUUUGAUACUGGGGAUCUCGAGUCCGGAAGAGGUUGGUGGAACUGCGAGUGUAGAGGUGAAAUUCGUAGAUAUUCGCAAGAACACCAGUGGCGAAGGCGGCCAACUGGUCCGGUACUCGACGCUGAGGUGCGAAAGCGUGGGGAGCAAACAGG